CCGACCUUCUGAUCAGCAAGCCCUAGGCUCUGUGGUUUAACCCACAGUGCCACCCACGUCAGACUGCAAGGCAGGAAAAUGCUCUUCUAAGAAAAUGCUCUUCUGCAUUUUAACACAAAUCUACCUGGUUUGCACUUCCUGAAACAAUAUUAAAUUUGCACUUCCCUGAAUUUUGCAAUGCAGUUCUCCAGCCAAGUAAUGUGUACAUAAAUGCAAACCCAGGGGCAAGUUGUGCAUAAAAUGUGCAUAUUACUGAACAUGACAUCGAAAACUGCAUUACAACAGGAAAAAUUGCUUUGCAAAACUGUGCAUGUUAGGUUAAAUUUCAUGGAAGCAUCUCUGUUGGUUGAAAUGCUGAUGAGUUUUCAUGAGGAAUGCUUAAAAAAAAAAGUUCCACUGAUGGAGAACUUCUGCGUUUGAAGCAUCUCUGAAAAUAUACCCCAACAUCCCUGUGUGCCGCCAGAUCACAUGUAAUGUUUUUAAUGUGGUUGUGUUGGGGCCCCAAGUUGUUUGAAAGCUGCCUUCUAAAGGAAAGCAGGGAGCACAAGGGAACUGAUCAGGAAGACCUCCAGUCUCGUGAACAUGGGAAGAGAGACAGCACUUCUGAGUCAAGGCACUGGGAAGAGGGUGCACUGGAGACAGCCAAAAGCCAUGUGCCGAAAUCUGCUGCUUUUUAGUUUUUCAAAUAGGCAGGCAUGCUAUUUCUGUAACUUACCAUCCAAAAUAGUAUACUUUUGUGAAACGAAGCAGGCCUGAUGCUUUAGUAUUUACAGCUGGGACUAUAAUUAAGCAGAGAAUUGGUUCACCAUCACAGGAUGAAUUCAACAUGACUAAAAUACAUUCUUUCCCCAGACCUGACUGCUGGACUUCACCCCCAAAGGUAAAUUCCCACCCCAGGGUUCCUCCACUGCACUGAUGAUAUAUGUACACUGAAAAAGUCCAUGCGCCCUACAGAGCAGGUUGCAGGAACACCUGGGCCCAGGCAAGAAAGUCCUUUCUCACUGAAGGCGCAACACACGCUCAGAGAUACAGCGCGGCACUUUCUUUCGUCAGACAUAAUGAAGCUGUAGCAAAAAGCCACGUGAAGGCUUCAGACGGCUAUGACUUGCCACCCUGGGAGGCCAGCCUGAAGCAGGGAGCUCUUUUUCAAGUGAGCUCGCCAUACAGAUGAGUGACUGAUGUGCAUGCCAAAAACAUUAAAGGCACCUUAGACCACAUUUGCAUACCUUUGAUCUGCCAGAAGAGCCAAGGCAAUAACUUUUUACUUUAUGCCAGCUUAUCUAUAUUGUAUGGUGCUGGUGGCAAUGAACCUACUGAUGUGGAGCAGCUGAGCUAGUGCAAUGGCAAAGAAUGGGCAUCAACAUUCCACCUGUUCAGGCAAUUAAACACCAAGGGUGUUUGCUGUUCUUUUCCUGUGAGAGAAGGGAAGCCGUCUGUUUGGAUGAGAUUAAAGAGGUCCUAAAAACAGGAAUAGCUUUGUAUGGCAGGCUGAGACAUGGGAAGAGGACCCAGGAGAGACAAGCUUUGGGAGAUAGACAACCCAGGAAUCCCCAUGCGGGGAUUGGAGUGAAGUGUCAUCAGUAUGCUGAGGCUGAUGGGAGAUGUAGUCCAACAACAUCAGAAGGGUCACAAGUUGCUCACCUGAUUUAGUUCUUUGCCUCAGUGCCAGAAAUGUCCACAUUUGGUCCAUUUAUAUGACAACAAUAUCCCACCAAGGGCGGACUUUGAUCAUCUUUCGUAACAUGGCACCCCAUGUCAGACCAAAAUUCAGCGCCCCCAAAUGGAUCUUCUCAAUUAUGAAUCUUCACAAUUUUGCACCGCUUUGGCUUGGUGCCCUGUGCAAGGGAACCGUCCAUAGCACCCUACAUCUGGCACUAUAUCCAAGAAAGAUUGUUUCAGCACAGCCACACACCAAGUUUUCAAGUGAAAAGAUAAUUCAACGUAAGAAGCCCUUAAGAUCCCAUUAGGCCUAAAACAGGCUUCAUGUCAAAGGCAAAUGUGCUAUGAAAUUUCUGCCUGUUUCUUCCCCAAAUCAGGGAAACUUGCAAGGGAAGAGCUGAUGCUAAAUCUGCAUUCAGCGUGUGGAGAGGAAUUUCACAUUCCCCAAGUCUCAAGUGUAUAGAACCUUUUAUCUAAAUAGUAGCCACCAUAAUAACAUUGUAACAGAGCUUGCACACAAACACACACAGAGACACACAGAGAGAGAGGGAGGGGGAGAGAGAGAGAGUUACGGGAGGAAAAGGAGGCAGAAGCUUGAAAAUGUUAAACUAUGAAGACUCAGAUAUUUUGCCAUGCAAAAUUAUCUUCAUAUAGAAUCAUAGAAUCUUAUAGUUGGAAGGGACCCCCUGCAAUGUGGGAAUCUCAGCUAAAGCAUCCAUGAAAGAUGGCCAUCCGACCUCUGCUUACAAACCUCUAAGGAAGGAGAAUCCACAACCUCUUGUGGGAGUCUGUUCCACCGUCAAACAGCUCUUACUGUCAGAAAGUUUUUCCAUAUGUUUGGUCGGAAUCUCCUUUCUUGUAACUUAAAGCCUUUGGUUUGAGUCCUACUCUCCAGAGCAGGAAAAAACAAGCAUGUUCCCUGUUCCACGUGACAGCCCUUGAGAUAUUUGAAGAUGGCUCUCAUUUCUCCCUCUCAGUCUCCUCUUUUCCAGGCUAAACACACUCAGCUCUACUCCCCUCUCUCGUGAAUGCCCCAGUCACCCACACAAAAUGGUCGCCCUUCCCACUUUCCUCACUUUCACGUUCUGGCUCCAACAUCUGCCUGCUGCCCUCCUACAUUCCCAGGCUUCUUCCCAAGCCUUCCUGAGUGUAAAGGCUCCUCCGCCACCCCCCUCACAGCCGCUAUCGCUGCCCACCUCAACCACAUACCUGCUGUCAUCACCGCAACCCGGCUCCCCGCCCACAGCAGCCCUAGCAGCCAUAGAGAGGGAAAGUGGAAGGGGGAGCAGCAUGUUCACCAGAGGUGAGGAGAGGAAAAUCUUUGUUCCUAUUGGCAAUGUUGUGGUGGCUUGGGACUUGGGCUCGGACAUGGAACCAGAGGAGUCUCAGUCUGCACCGGAUCCUUUGCCUCAGGCAUCAUCUGAACCAACUCUGGGGCCUGAUCCUGAAGAGUUCCAGUCUGCACAGUUUUCCCUGCAACAAGCACCAGCUGGGCCGAGUCAGGGGCCUGAGCCUGCCCUGGCUCCAGAUGCGGGGAUUACCUUACUGCCUUCAGCUGAGCCAUCACUUACAGCUGCUCCACUACCGGUGUUCUAGUAACCCACUGACGUCUCCUGAGCUGCAGAGACUGAGGUCUGAGAGGAGAGACCUGAGUACUCGCAGGAGGAGUGUUCGCCUUAGGGCGAGACAAGGAGGUGAGUCGCCGGGGGAUCAGGACCGGCCGCUACCCUGACAAAGAUAAAAGGCUGUCGGACCCCGCCCCAGGUUGCAGGAGCAACGUUGCUGUAGGCUAGAUCCUGUGCCUGUCCUUGCCUGAGUUCCUGCCUCGUGUCCUGCCUUGGCCCUGUCGGACCUCUUAGCAGAACCUCUGGAUUCUGGUCCAGUCCUGGACCGCGUUUCACGGGUUACCCCCAGGCCCAGCACAAAUGUCCAGGACAUUCCAAGAUGCAAUUAGAAGCCAGGAAUGGCUUCUGUCAAUUCUGUUCCAGUUAAAAUGGGUCAGUUGUGAGGUAUGGUGAAGCUGAUAGAGACAGCAAUUCUUUUAGGCGCAUCUGAUAUGUGUGCGACUGCGCAUGUGUGAUUCGCUCUGAACCGGAAGUGACCCAAAAAUGCGACAAAAAGUUGAUUCCCACGUGCAGGGACCACAGCAUGGUUUGAAGUGUAACGAAGCAGCAGGGUAUAUUAAGAAACAUGUUAGAAAGGAUGAAAUUAGAUAAGACAAAACCUUAAAACGCAAUUGUAUGUAAUUUGAGUUAUAAACAUGGAUGGUGGGUGAGCAGAAAAUCACUAGUUUUGUUGAAUCAGAAUAUAAUUGUAACAAAUAUAACUUUCUAUAUGAAAAAAAGAAUAAAAUGUUAUUACAAAAAAAACCCCAAAAGGGGCAGAGUGGGGGCAGAACAUGGCGUUUGCUGGUUUUUUCAAUGGUGUUUAAAAUAUACGCAAUUUAAAUGUGCAGUGCCUUCAAACAUAAACCCCAUGUAAAUUGAGAGUUGCCUGUACAGUUUUGUGACACAUAGGGUUUUUCUUUUUGGCAGUCCCGAGAAUCUAGGGUGAGGGGGAAGUAUUUUAGACUUUGUCAAUUAAUUGCUGUAAAGGUAAAGGUAAACGGACCCCUGACCAUUAGGUCCAGUCAUGGCCGACUCUGGGGUUGCGGUGCUCAUCUCGCUUUACUGGACGAGGGAGCUGGCGUACGGCUUCCAGGUCAUGUGGCCAGCAUGACUAAGCCACUUCUGGCGAACCAGAGCAGAGCACGGAAACGCCGUUUACCUUCCCACCGGAGCGGUACCUAUUUAUCUACUUGCACUUUGACUUGCUUUCGAACUGCUAGGUUGGCAGGAGCAGGGACCGAGCAACAGGAGCUCACCCCGUCACGGGGAUUUGAACCGCCGACCUUCUGAUUGGCAAUUAAUUGCUGGGCAAUGUUUAAAUUUGACAUAAGGGUUGGCACCCCCCAAAGAAUCCUGGGAGGUGUAAUUUGGUAAGAGUGCUGGGACUUCUCUGGAGACUUUGCAGAACUAUAAUUCUGCCACAACCCUAACCCUUAACAAACUACAGUUCCAAACAUCCUUUGAGGAAAGCCGUGAAGUUUUUGAAGUGCUGUGAUGCUGCUUUAAAUGUGUAGUGCGGAUGGGUCCAUUUUUUCUGUCACAGAAUAUUUGCUGUAUAUGCGCAGUGCUUUUUUUGUCACAAAUUAUGUAUGCUGUAGCAAGCUAUGUCUUUCCCCCCCUACAUCUAAGCAUUCACUGAUGCCUUGAACCAUAAAACCCAACCAGACAUGAUUUGCUCCCUCCUGAAUUUUUGUAGAAGCCCCUUUUCAUUGCCUGGCUCCAGAUUCUCCAGCCGCUUUGCACAUUUUACAAAUUCCAACUUCAUUUCAAAUUUGCUAUUCAGACUUGGGCUUUUGUUUCAAGGCUUUGUCCUCAGAUGCCUUUGUCCUUCCUCCUCUCUGGGCUGAGAUUUGGGGUUUGCUCUCCUAAAUGUUUUGCCUCUGAAGUGGCACCAUCAAAACAGCCCUCAAACACUGCUUGAUUUCAAGCUCUUUCCUGCCUCUUUAUUUAUCUUCUUUGAAAGGCGCUUUCAAACACCUCAUCUGCAAAGACGUCACUUUUGCAGCCAGCCCUGCCUGGCUUGUACUUGCGGUACAAACUGUUAUUAAUCUUUUCCUGAAACAGAACCCCUGUUAUCAGAAAAAAGGGAGCCCUGCCUUUCCACCUGGAGCAAGUGGAGCACGGGCCCUUGUCUCUCUAGGUCUCUCAGAUCUUUUCCUGUUUGAAGAAAGAGAGGUGAACAAGCAAGGCAGCUUCAAAAGAAAACGGUCCCUGACGUUGUAGGUUUCACUUCAGUCCUCUUCCUGGAAUAGAGAAGAAAAAACACACAAACCUGAAGAAUCCCAGAUCUGACAAGUUGGGGCUCAGCAGGGCAGACAGCCUGAGCAGUUCCUCCCCCCCCUUUAAUAUUUUAUUUAUAAAAAUACCUACAGUAUAUACCCCAUUCAUUGAAAAAAGAACAGUUUACAACAAUUGCACAUAAAACCAUACAAUAAAAACUAUAUUAAAAAGUUAAAAUUGGAAAUGUGCUAAUAUUGUAAGAUGUAAUUUUGAAUUGUGUGUAUAAGCCUGAAGAAACAGAAAUGUUUUCAGCACAGGGUUGUGAUACGUCCAGAAUUUCCCAGACAUAGCCAAGAUUUGGUCAUCGGAAAGAGUGUUCAGGUGGAAAUCGCUUAAAUGUCUGGGAAAAUCCGGAUGUAUGGCAACUUUUGUGUCUUGAUUUUCACUUUUUGAAAUAUGGAGAACCCUACUUCAGCAAGUGUUUAAAAGUUGCCACAGAAGGCACCUGCUGCAUCUCUGUUGGCAGAGUUCCACAGGACUUGGCCAAGGACUCUAAAGGCUCGGCUCCCUGUUGCUGUCAAAAGAGCCUUGCCACCACGGGCAACAGCCUAUGAUGCUCCUGCAGAUGAUAUUGGAGACUGAGCUGGGAUAUAAGGGUUUGGGUGGUUCCUGAGGCACCCUGGACCUAAGUUGUUGGGGCUUUGUAAAUAAAUUCAAAGCAGCCGACUCCAGCAGUGGAAACGCAAGAGGUUUGCCUUGCCCUCACCACCACAUCCACCACUGGUGGAACACCCACCUCUCACCAAGUUUCAGCAAGAGGGAGGCGUUCCAGCACAUGAUGUCACUGCUCAGCUUUCCUGUCCCUGGAGUGGAGAAGACAAGUGGUGAGGCCUUCCAGAACUCCCUCUGCUCUUGCCAAGUUUGGCGAGAGGGAGACGUUCUGUCAUGUGGCAUGGCUGUUCUGCUCAUCUUCCCCACCGCUGGGGUAGAGAAGACAAGCGGCGAGGCCUUACAGAAUGCCCCCUUCUCCUGCCAAGUUCAGCAAGAGCGAGGGGCAUUUAGCCAGUGGCAGAAGUGGUGGGGCAAGCAGCGGGGCAGGAGGCAGCACAUUUCCAUUUUGCCUCAGGUGGUGAAAUGGGAUGGGCCGACCCCGACCUUGAACCUAGCUCAGUAGUAGAUAGGCAGACAGUGCAGAUGUUUAUGUUAUGUACUGAAGUUCUCACCCUGGGCCAGCAGGGGGAUACUGUAGAUAGUUUUCACUGAGGUCCACAUAUGCAAAUAAGGGAUUGAAAGUGACGUUCAGUGAUUGGAUAGUUACAGAAAAUGGCUACUGUUGUGUUCUAGUGGAGUUCUAUAUAAG
rnacentral:lncRNA from 1 species